rnacentral:rRNA from 1 species
GAUGAACGCUGGCGGCGUGCCUAAUACGUGCAAGUCGAGCGAACAGACGAGGAGCUUGCUCCUCUGACGUUAGCGGCGGACGGGUGAGUAACACGUGGAUAACCUACCUAUAAGACUGGGAUAACUUCGGGAAACCGGAGCUAAUACCGGAUAAUAUAUUGAACCGCAUGGUUCAAUAGUGAAAGACGGUUUUGCUGUCACUGAUAGAUGGAUCCGCGCCGCAUUAGCUAGUUGGUAAGGUAACGGCUUACCAAGGCAACGAUGCGUAGCCGACCUGAGAGGGUGAUCGGCCACACUGGAACUGAGACACGGUCCAGACUCCUACGGGAGGCAGCAGUAGGGAAUCUUCCGCAAUGGGCGAAAGCCUGACGGAGCAACGCCGCGUGAGUGAUGAAGGUCUUCGGAUCGUAAAACUCUGUUAUUAGGGAAGAACAAAUGUGUAAGUAACUAUGCACGUCUUGACGGUACCUAAUCAGAAAGCCACGGCUAACUACGUG